GAUGAACGCUGGCGGCGUGCCUAAUACAUGCAAGUCGAGCGAACAGACGAGGAGCUUACUCCUCUGACGUUAGCGGCGGACGGGUGAGUAACACGUGGAUAACCUACCUAUAAGACUGGGAUAACUUCGGGAAACCGGAGCUAAUACCGGAUAACAUGUUGAACCGCAUGUUUCAACAGUGAAAUACGUUCUUGCUGUCACUUAUAGAUGGUUCCGCGUCGCAUUAGCUAGUUGGUAAGGUAACGGCUUAACAAGGCAACGAUGCGUAGCCGACCUGAGAGGGUGAUCGGACACACGGGAACUGAGACACGGUCCAGACUACUACGGGAGGAAGCAGUAGGGAAUCGUCCGCAAUGGGCGAAAGCAUGACGGAGCAACGCAGCGUGAGUGAAGAAGGUCUUCGGAUCGUAAAACUCUGUUAUUAGGGAAGAAAAAAUGUGUAAGUAACUAUGCACGUCUUGACGGUAACUAAUCAGAAAGCCACGGCUAACUACGUG
rnacentral:rRNA from 1 species